UACGUAGGUGGCAAGCGUUGUCCGGAAUUAUUGGGCGUAAAGCGCGCGCAGGCGGUCCUUUAAGUCUGAUGUGAAAGCCCACGGCUCAACCGUGGAGGGUCAUUGGAAACUGGGGGACUUGAGUGCAGGAGAGAAGAGUGGAAUUCCACGUGUAGCGGUGAAAUGCGUAGAGAUGUGGAGGAACACCAGUGGCGAAGGCGACUCUUUGGCCUGUAACUGACGCUG
rnacentral:rRNA from 1 species